rnacentral:rRNA from 1 species
UACGAAGGGGGCUAGCGUUGUUCGGAAUUACUGGGCGUAAAGCGCGUGUAGGCGGGUUUUUAAGUCUGGGGUGAAAUGCCAAGGCUCAACCUUGGAACUGCCUUUGAUACUGGAGAUCUUGAGUCCGGGAGAGGUGAGUGGAAUUGCGAGUGUAGAGGUGAAAUUCGUAGAUAUUCGCAAGAACACCAGUGGCGAAGGCGGCUCACUGGCCCGGAACUGACGCUGAGACGCGAAAGCUAGGGGAGCAAACGGG